UAGGGAAUCUUCGGCAAUGGACGGAAGUCUGACCGAGCAACGCCGCGUGAGUGAAGAAGGUUUUCGGAUCGUAAAGCUCUGUUGUUAGAGAAGAACGUUGGUAGGAGUGGAAAAUCUACCAAGUGACGGUAACUAACCAGAAAGGGACGGCUAACUACGUGCCAGCAGCCGCGGUAAUACGUAGGUCCCGAGCGUUGUCCGGAUUUAUUGGGCGUAAAGCGAGCGCAGGCGGUUCUUUAAGUCUGAAGUUAAAGGCAGUGGCUUAACCAUUGUACGCUUUGGAAACAGGAGGACUUAAGUGCAGGAGGGGAGAGUGGAAUUCCAUGUGUAGCGGUGAAAUGCGUAGAUAUAUGGAGGAACACCGGUGGCGAAAGCGGCUCUCUGGUCUGUAACUGACGCUGAGGCUCGAAAGCGUGGGGAGCAAACAGG
rnacentral:rRNA from 1 species